rnacentral:misc_RNA from 1 species
AAAAAAAAUUACAAUAUUAAUUUCAACUAAAUAUUACAUAAACUUUUUUUAAUCAAAAUAAACAUUAUACAAAUAAUGUAGGAUUCACAAUUUUAAUAAAUGUCUUGCAAUCUGCAUGUACUUCCACUUAUAUAGCAACUCAAAUUUCAUGUUUUGAGUUCAUAUCCAUCUUUUGUUGUAUGAGACCAUUCAGAAAAUUCUUAUACCAUAUCGCAG